UGACAGAACGAUUUCGAGAUUUACUACUGCCUCCAUCUAGUCAAGACUCCGAAAUUCUGCCCUUCAUUCAAUCUAGAAAUUAUCCCAAGCUGUAUAUUGAUGGUCCUUUUGGAAGUCCAUUUGAGGAAUCACUGAACUAUGAGGUCAGCCUCUGCGUGGCUGGUGGCAUUGGAGUAACUCCAUUUGCAUCAAUACUCAACACCCUGUUGGAUGACUGGAAACCAUACAAGCUUAGAAGACUAUACUUUAUUUGGGUAUGCAGAGAUAUCCAGUCCUUC
rnacentral:lncRNA from 1 species